GUUGACCUCGGAUCAGGUAGGAAUACCCGCUGAACUUAAGCAUAUCAAUAAGCGGAGGAAAAGAAACCAACAGGGAUUGCCCUAGUAACGGCGAGUGAAGCGGCAACAGCUCAAAUUUGAAAUCUGGCUUUCGGGCCCGAGUUGUAAUUUGUAGAGGAUACUUUUGAUGCGGUGCCUUCCGAGUUCCCUGGAACGGGACGCCAUAGAGGGUGAGAGCCCCGUCUGGUUGGAUGCCAAAUCUCUGUAAAGUUCCUUCGACGAGUCGAGUAGUUUGGGAAUGCUGCUCUAAAUGGGAGGUAUAUGUCUUCUAAAGCUAAAUAUUGGCCAGAGACCGAUAGCGCACAAGUAGAGUGAUCGAAAGAUGAAAAGCACUUUGAAAAGAGAGUUAAAAAGUACGUGAAAUUGUUGAAAGGGAAGCGUUUAUGACCAGACUUGGGCUUGGAUAAUCAUCUGGGGUUCUCCCCAGUGCACUUUUCCAGCUCAGGCCAGCAUCAGUUUUCGCCGGGGGAUAAAGGCAGCAGGAAUGUGGCUCUCUCCGGGGAGUGUUAUAGCCUGCUGUGUAAUACCCUGGUGGGGACUGAGGUUCGCGCAUCUGCAAGGAUGCUGGCGUAAUGGUCAUCAACGAC
rnacentral:rRNA from 1 species